AAGCCAGUGAUACGUAGCCGCCCUGAGAGGGUAAUCGGCCACAUUGGGACUGAGACACGGCCCAGAUUCCUACGGGAGGCAGCAGUAGGGAUCUUCCACAAUGGACGCAAGUCUGAUGGAGCAACGCCGCGUGAGUGAAGAAGGGUUUCGGCUCGUAAAGCUCUGUUGUUAAAGAAGAACGUGGGUAAGAGUAACUGUUUACCCAGUGACGGUAUUUAACCAGAAAGCCACGGCUAACUACGUGCCAGCAGCCGCGGUAAUACGUAGGUGGCAAGCGUUAUCCGGAUUUAUUGGGCGUAAAGCGAGCGCAGGCGGUCUUUUAAGUCUAAUGUGAAAGCCUUCGGCUCAACCGAAGAAGUGCAUUGGAAACUGGGAGACUUGAGUGCAGAAGAGGACAGUGGAACUCCAUGUGUAGCGGUGAAAUGCGUAGAUAUAUGGAAGAACACCAGUGGCGAAGGCGGCUGUCUGGUCUGCAACUGACGCUGAGGCUCGAAAGCAUGGGUAGCGAACAGGAUUAGAUACCCUGGUAGUCCAUGCCGUAAACGAUGAUUACUAAGUGUUGGAGGGUUUCCGCCCUUCAGUGCUGCAGCUAACGCAUUAAGUAAUCCGCCUGGGGAGUACGACCGCAAGGUUGAAACUCAAAAGAAUUGACGGGGGCCCGCACAAGCGGUGGAGCAUGUGGUUUAAUUCGAAGCUACGCGAAGAACCUUACCAGGUCUUGACAUCUUCUGACAGUCUAAGAGAUUAGAGGUUCCCUUCGGGGACAGAAUGACAGGUGGUGCAUGGUUGUCGUCAGCUCGUGUCGUGAGAUGUUGGGUUAAGUCCCGCAACGAGCGCAACCCUUAUUACUAGUUGCCAGCAUUAAGUUGGGCACUCUAGUGAGACUGCCGGUGACAAACCGGAGGAAGGUGGGGACGACGUCAAAUCAUCAUGCCCCUUAUGACCUGGGCUACACACGUGCUACAAUGGAUGGUACAACGAGUCGCGAGACCGCGAGGUUAAGCUAAUCUCUUAAAACCAUUCUCAGUUCGGACUGUAGGCUGCAACUCGCCUACACGAAGUCGGAAUCGCUAGUAAUCGCGGAUCAGCAUGCCGCGGUGAAUACGUUCCCG
rnacentral:rRNA from 1 species